GGCAGCAUGUCCACCCAUUCAAGUUAUCCCCAGAAAUACCACAUACUCCUUUGAAAGGAGCAAAUGCAGGACAUGAAAAAGGAAGAGACCAUGUCAGUGAAGGCGCUGAGAAAGGGAAAGUGAAUCCUGCCUGUGACAUCACAGGCAGAGCAUGUGUCAGGUAGAGGUGACAGCAGCAUUGACUUCUUACCACUGCAGAUCAGCACCCUGGGCUCAGAGCUUGCCUUAUCUACCCUGACUCUGCCAUGGGCUGCAGGCUUCUCUGCUAUGUGGCCCUCUGCCUCUCGGGAGCAGACCCCUUGGACACAGCUGUUUCUCAGACUCCAAAAUACUUUGUCACACAAAUGGGAAAUACAAGAUCUUUUUACUGUGAACAAAAUCUGGGCCAUGAUAAUAUGUACUGGUAUAAGCAGGACUCCAAGCAAUUGCUGAAGAUUAUGUUUAGCUAUAAUAAUAAGGAACUCAUCAUAAAUGAAACAGUGCCAAGUCGCUUCUUACCUAAUUCUCCAGACAAAGCUCAUUUAAAACUUGACAUCAAGUCUCUGGAGCCAGGUGACUCAGCCCUGUAUCUCUGUGCCAGCAGCUAAGACACAGCCUUGCAGAAU